rnacentral:rRNA from 1 species
CCUACGGGAGGCAGCAGUGAGGAAUUUUCCGCAAUGGGCGAAAGCCUGACGGAGCAAUACCGCGUGAGGGAUGAAGGAUUUUGGUCUGUAAACCUCUUUUCUCAAGAAAGAAGUUCUGACGGUACUUGAGGAAUAAGCAUCGGCUAACUCCGUGCCAGCAGCCGCGGUAAUACGGUGGAUGCAAGCGUUAUCCGGAAUGAUUGGGCGUAAAGCGCCUGUAGGUUGUUUAUUAAGUCCGUUGUUAAAGCCUAGGGCUCAACCCUAGAAAAGCAAUGGAAACUAGUAGACUAGAGUAUGGCAGGGGUAGAGGGAAUUUCUAGUGUAGCGGUGAAAUGCGUAGAUAUUAGAAAGAACACCGGUGGCGAAAGCGCUCUACUGGACCAUUACUGACACUCAGAGGCGAAAGCUAGGGUAGCAAAAGGGAUUAGAUACCCCUGUAGUCCUAGCCGUAAACGAUGGAUACUAGAUGUUGUGCAUUAUGUACAGUAUCGUAGCUAACGCGUUAAGUAUCCCGCCUGGGGAGUACGCUCGCAAGGGUGAAACUCAAAUGAAUUGACGG